GACGAACGCUGGCGGCGUGCUUAACACAUGCAAGUCGAACGGAAAGGCCCUGCUUUUGUGGGGUGCUCGAGUGGCGAACGGGUGAGUAACACGUGAGUAACCUGCCCUUGACUUUGGGAUAACUUCAGGAAACUGGGGCUAAUACCGGAUAGGAGCUCCUGCUGCAUGGUGGGGGUUGGAAAGUUUCGGCGGUUGGGGAUGGACUCGCGGCUUAUCAGCUUGUUGGUGGGGUAGUGGCUUACCAAGGCUUUGACGGGUAGCCGGCCUGAGAGGGUGACCGGCCACAUUGGGACUGAGAGACGGCCCAGACUCCUACGGGAGGCAGCAGUGGGGAAUAUUGCACAAUGGGCGGAAGCCUGAUGCAGCAACGCCGCGUGCGGGAUGACGGCCUUCGGGUUGUAAACCGCUAUCGCCUGUGACGAAGCGUGAGUGACGGUAAUGGGUAAAGAAGCACCGGCUAACUACGUG
rnacentral:rRNA from 1 species